GGGACUCAUGGAGUGACGCACAGAACCGAGUUCUACACCUAUCUGUGAGUUGCAACGGGUGAGUAACGCGUAGGUAACCUCCUGUAGGGGGGAUAACUAUUGGAAACGAUAGCUAAUACCGCAUAAAAUUAGCAUUAAUGUUAAAGUGCAAGCAUCCUAAGAUGGACCUGCGUUGUAUUAGCUAGUGGUGGUAAGGCACCAGGCAACGAUACAUAGCCACCUGAGAGGGUGAUCGGCCACACUGGGACUGAGACACGGCCCAACUCCUACGGGAGGCAGCAGUAGGGAAUCUUCGGCAAUGGGGGGAACCCUGACCGAGCAACGCCGCGUGAGUGAAGAAGGUUUUCGGAUCGUAAAGCUCUGUUGUUAAGGAAGAACGGUGUGAGAUGGAAAGUUCACGUGACGGUACUUAACCAGAAAGGGACGGCUAACUACGUGCCAGCAGCCGCGGUAAUACGUAGGUCCCGAGCGUUGUCCGGAUUUAUUGGGCGUAAAGCGAGCGCAGGCGGUUAGAUAAGUCUGAAGUGAAAGGCAGUGGCUCAACCAUUGUAGGCUUUGGAAACUGUUUAACUUGAGUGCAGAAGGGGAGAGUGGAAUUCCAUGUGUAGCGGUGAAAUGCGUAGAUAUAUGGAGGAACACCGGUGGCGAAAGCGGCUCUCUGGUCUGUAACUGACGCUGAGGCUCGAAAGCGUGGGGAGCGAACAGGAUUAGAUACCCUGGUAGUCCACGCCGUAAACGAUGAGUGCUAGGUGUUAGGUCCUUUCCGGGACUUAGUGCCGCAGCUAACGCAUUAAGCACUCCGCCUGGGGAGUACGACCGCAAGGGUUGAAACUCAAAGGAAUUGACGGGGGCCCGCACAAGCGGUGGACAUGUGGUUUAAUUCGAAGCAACGCGAAAGACCCUUACCAGGGUCUUGACAUCCCCUGACCCUCUAGAGAUAGGUUUCCCUUUCGGGGCAGGUGACAGGGGUGCAUGGUUGUCGUCAGCUCGAUGUCGUGGAGAUGGUGGGUUUAAGUUCCGCAACGGAGCGCAACCGUAUUGUUAGUUGCCAUCAUUCAAGUUUGUGGGCAAC
rnacentral:rRNA from 1 species